rnacentral:ncRNA from 1 species
AAAAAUUCGAUGAUGAGAAGAGUAUCAAUUUAUAUUUCUAACAGCGAGCAGAAGGUUGGUGAAAGUUCUGCAAGAAAGAGAAUUGGGAAAAGGGCCUCUGAGAAGCUACCUGAGCAUUUGCAAGGGUGUGUCGUUAACUGCGUUAAAGUUCUGAGUGGACUAUUUUAGUCAAAUUGAGUGGUACCGCGGAUUAUACCCGUCUCUAUU